UCCGCCUUGGUGUAACGGCAGCACGCCGGCCUUUGGAGCCGUGCAGUCUAGGUUCGAAUCCUAGGGGCGGAA
rnacentral:tRNA from 2 species